rnacentral:rRNA from 1 species
UUCCAGAUUGAAUAUACCCGAUCUCGUCUGAUCUCGGCAGUCAAGCAAUCUCGGGCUUGGUUAGUACUUGGAUGGGUGACCGCUUGGGAAUACCAAGUGUGAUAAGCA